AUUUUUUGUUAUUGCAUUCAGAACAGGACACAUUUUGCCACUGGAUAAUAGGCCAAAGUGUAUAGCUUAUAUAGCAGGUUUAUAUCAGGUUAUAUUGUCACCAUAUUUUGAAAUCACUAUUUUUCAUAUUAUAAUUUAACGUCAGCUGUGUAUGACUCCUCUGCUUUCAUCUCAUCCAAUACUUAUUCAUUGAAUACUUGCUUAAAACAUCCUCUCUGAGUACAUUUUACUCUCUUCUCCUUCCCUACUUACUUUUUCUUUA
rnacentral:lncRNA from 1 species